AAUUAGAGGAAGUAAAAGUCGUAACAAGGUCUCCGUUGGUGAACCAGCGGAGGGAUCAUUACCGAGUUUACAACUCCCAAACCCCUGUGAACAUACCUUAAUGUUGCCUCGGCGGAUCAGCCCGCGCCCCGUAAAACGGGACGGCCCGCCAGAGGACCCAAACUCUAAUGUUUCUUAUUGUAACUUCUGAGUAAAACAAACAAAUAAAUCAAAACUUUCAACAACGGAUCUCUUGGUUCUGGCAUCGAUGAAGAACGCAGCAAAAUGCGAUAAGUAAUGUGAAUUGCAGAAUUCAGUGAAUCAUCGAAUCUUUGAACGCACAUUGCGCCCGCUGGUAUUCCGGCGGGCAUGCCUGUUCGAGCGUCAUUUCAACCCUCAAGCCCCCGGGUUUGGUGUUGGGGAUCGGCUCUGCCUUCUGGCGGUGCCGCCCCCGAAAUACAUUGGCGGUCUCGCUGCAGCCUCCAUUGCGUAGUAGCUAACACCUCGCAACUGGAACGCGGCGCGGCCAUGCCGUAAAACCCCAACUUCUGAAUGUUGACCUCGGAUCAGGUAGAAUCCCGCUUUUAU
rnacentral:rRNA from 1 species